ensembl:snoRNA LOC120100325 small nucleolar RNA SNORD116
GGAUCGAUGAUGAUUUCCAAUAAAACAUUCCUUGGAAAGCUGAACAAAAUGCGUGUAAACUCAAUACUGCCACUAUCAUCGUUAGUGAGGUCC